GGACGCGCGUUCCCGGCCGGGCCCCCCGGGCCCCGCAGCCCCGGGAGCAGCCGCCGCCUCCGGCCGGGCCCGGGGCGAGCCUGGCGGGGCUGGGGCCUCCCCGGGCCGGGCCGGGGAAGGGGCCGGGAGGGCCGGGCCGGGAGCGGCUCCUGCUCCCGCAGGGGGGACGUUCCAGCCGCUCCUGCUGGUCCCGGCGCGGGGGGGUUCGCAGCGCCCGGAGCGCGGGGGGGCCGGGCUGCGCUGCCUCCCCCUCGGCUGCCGCCGCGGUCGUGCCCGGGCCGGGCCGGGUUCUCAUCCCGGUGCCGCUGCUGGUUCCACGCAGCGGGGAGCCCCGAGAUGCGGGCUCGGGCAUCGAGCCGUGGGGACCCUCGUGCUGCCCGUUGUGGUUCGGAAAGCGGCGAUGGUCGUGACCGCCCCGUCCGGGAACCGCCGCUGCCCGAGGUGUUGGGAUUCUCACUGUGGAGACCACUCAGCAGGAGGACAGAGUCCUGGGACACCCGUGCCCUGCUCAGAGGGCCACUCUGCUGAGAUCUUCACCUAUGGAGAAACACAACCAAGUUCAUCAGGAUCUUUUUCUGACUUCAGUUUUAUUCCAACAGCUGCACUGAACAAACAGUCAAAACACAAAAGGGGGCAUUUACAAAGCAGCUGUAUCCAACAAACACUUAACACUUCCUACACUUCUUUGGGGGCUGACACCUGUGCCAGCUCCUCAGCUGGAGGAGGCAGCGCCCGUUUUUCCUGUCUCAGGGGGAAGGAGAAAGGAUGUUUCAGGGCCUUUUCCAUCAGGUCAAUCAGGUUCUCAUGCUCAGCAUCACGGCUGGUCAGGAAUGCCUUUGUGAAGAGCAGAACAGAAGAUGUUUUUGGAAUGGUGUGGCUGCAUGUAAAGGUCUCUCCCCAACAGCCUCUUCCCUCUUCCUCUGACCUUCAGGGCCUCACAGCUCCAGAGACGUGUCUCCCAGCAGAGCUGUGUUCGUCCCAAUCCAGCCGGCCCUGCUGGAAACACCUGCGUUUCAGAAACCAAACAGACCAGGGUGUGUUACUCAAAGGUGCUGUUUGGUCCCUGCACUAGGGGUAGUUUAUCAGGAUGUUGGUCCACACCUCGGGAACUGAGCUGGGAAGGUUCCACAAGAGUGGGCAGCUUGUGAAAUAGAGCAAGAGGGUGAAUGUGAAUGGAUGAAACUUUUGGUUUUAAUUUUCCGUUACACCAAAUCUGAAAGGAUUUCCAUUAAACUCUACCAGUCCAGGUACAGAGAGAUGGAAUUACCAGCUGGUCUUGAUCAUGUGUCUUGGCAAAGGCCCCAGGAUUCCCUCCAUCGUGGCCAGGUGUUCUUUGUCUCCACAGGCCUGCAGGGGAACCAAGAUGGACCUUGUUCAUUGCCAGAGGAAGUUACCAAGAGCCACACAUUGACCUUACUUCAGGUUUGACUGUGCCCUGCAACCAGGGAUCCAUUUCAGAUUAAGCAAAAAGGAGAGGCUGCAGUCAUCUCUUUCCUGGAAUAAGAUACAAUCUACUGGAGGUUUUUUCCCUUGACCAAGCCUUCUAUAUUUUUUUUUUUGUUCCUGGUUCAUAAAUGUCAAGUUUCAGCAGUGCUGUCAAGUUGACAGAAUUUGGGUAGUUGAGCAGUAUUUGCUGCUGCUGACAGAUGAAGCUCCAUCUGUUACUAGUGUGGCUUGUAAAUUACAAAUGUGAACGAGCUCACCCUUCAUGCCCGGCUGGCUGGUUCCCAGUUGCCUACUGGAAAGCCUGGGGACCCAAGGCAGUACUCCAGGAGAACACAUCCUGUUCUCCAGACAUCACAGGGCUGUCACCAUCCCAGGGCUGUGAAAAGACCCAGAAGGGUCACGUUUAUACCAGGCUGCAAACAGGUCAACAGCUCAAGCAAGAUGUGCCAGGCUUCUGCAGCACCCUUCAGUAGCCACCAGGAAUCUUGGGCCAAAGCUGUGCCCAACAGAGUCCUACUGACCUAGGAUCACCUCAGGAGCUCUGUAGGGUCUUGUGGUCACCACCAUGCUGUGAUGUUCAUGAUCACGUGUGGUGCUCCCAGAGUCCCCAACCUUGACAUCUGGACGUUUGGGUCUGUGCUCCUCACACUCCUGCAAUGAAGCAAUGGGAUGCAGUGCCCAAAGAAAGCCAGAGGGUGGCUGAGGGGAGGUGGGGAAGAAGGCAGCAACUUCUCAGGCCGUGGCUGUGCUCCACUGCAUAGUCAGAUGGCACCAGUAAAAUGUUGUCUGGCUUCA